UCCUAUUGGGAGAUGGAUCCUUUCUACUU
rnacentral:piRNA from 1 species